rnacentral:rRNA from 1 species
UACGGGUGGCGCAAGUGUUACUCUUCAUCAUUGGGCGUAAAGGGUGCGUAGGCGGUGUAACAAGUUCCAAGUUAAAUGAUAACAUGAACGUGUUCUGUGAUUUUUUAUACUGUUACACUAGAGUAUUGAUAAGACAAUGGAACUUUUAAUAAAGAAUUUAAAUGCAUGGGUAUAUUAAAGGGAACACCAAAAGCGAAGGCAAUUGUCUGGUGAAAUACUGACGCUGAGGCACGAAGGCAUAGGUAUCAAACAGG